rnacentral:lncRNA from 1 species
CCCUGCGCGAGGUGCCGCCUUUCUCCGGCUCAUUGAUUCUCCCGCCUCCAGCUGGUCCUCUCCCAUGGCCAUAGCCCACCCCACUCCCAGAAACCUGAUCCUAAAUACCUUCCCCGAGGCUUUCAAAGGAACCCAGACACCGGUUCAGCAGCCCGCAGCUCACGCAACAGGCGGAGCCUUGGGGCUCCAGCAACGGCGGGCUCUGGGCACCAGAGCAUGCGGACUCCACAAGCCAGGCGCCCAGCAGCACAGAAAGUGCCCUGCGGCCGUAGACCCUCUGGGUCGUGCACCCGCGACCUGGACCACAGGGGACUGUGGCAGCAAAAGUCUUGUCUCCUCUCCUGUGGAAAAGGAUCCAAAGCAUUGGUCUACACUGCUAUUUACAAGCAACUGAAGAAGGUAAUCAUGUGAAGCCAAUGAAAUAAUAAACAGGACCACUUCGGAUGACCCAUAAGGCAGGUGUGCUCCCCAAAAGUUUACUCUUGAAGGUUGACGAAGGUUGAG